UAGAUAGAGGCGCGGAUUUCAAGAGUAAGCAUGUUGAGGCUUGCCGGAGCCGGUGAAGCAUGGUAAAAGGGAAAGCCGCCGAAGAGGACAGUUGGCAGCUGUUUUCUGGGCACUGGCGCGAAAGCACAGUGACUGUCAUCAUUUUAUUAUGAUGGGGCGCUAUCGGG
rnacentral:ncRNA from 1 species